CUGCUGCUGUGGGAACGCUGUCUCUCGAGGGUGAGGUGUGCGUCUUACGCGCCACUGCCUCCCCGCUCCCAGCACCGUACCUGGCAGAAGCAGGGGCUUCAUAAGCCUUCAAGGAGGAAGGAAAAGAGAAAGAUGGCCAAUGAGAACCAGCAUUCCUCUGGUGAUAGUGAUGGGUGCAGGGACCGGCUCAGACGGUCUGAGAACGGAGUCAACGCAGAGUGAGCAGCGUUGAGAGGGGAGAGAGAAACCGCGUCCUUCUGGAGCACUUGACGCUCCGCAUCCUGCUCCACCGGAAAUCAAGCCCACAUCGGACUCUUCACUUAAUUCCCCUUGAGGCUGUGUCAUCUUUGGAUUGGAUUUUCUGCUGUGUGUCAUCAAAAGAGUCCUAACUGAUUGUAUUACUACGACCACUGCUGUUAUGACUUUUUAAUUUCGAUUCCUCACGAUGGUGCAUCCUCUGUAGAGUGGAAAGCGGGCAGCCCUUGGGAAGUCUGUCUGCAGCCUGGGAAUGAGGUCCUGUUCCUGAACAUCCUGAGUGUGAGUGUGAACAGGACACGUAUCCACCAACGGCCCCAGGUACCCUGAGAGGCAUCCCCAGGCGGGAACUUAGGCUGCCACAGCUCAGCAGUGCCCGGCCAGCCCCAAGGUCAGAAGCCCAGUGUGAGGGGGGAGGCGACAGGCCGUGGGGGCACUGCUUCUGCCCCUUCUUGGGUUCUUGCCUGGGCCCCAGGUGGGACACUAGCUGGGGAAGCAGAAGGCAGGUGAGAUCUACAGACCAGAGAGAACCCGGAACGUGUGGACUGAAGACCCUUCACCUUGCUGCUGUGGUGCCUAGGCCUGCCAGCCCUGCUGUCGCAUCCCAGGGGGUCGUGAAGGGGUCACAUGUGCGGGGCUCUGGCUGGCAGCUGGGCAGUGUGGGCUUUGGCCCCAUCUCCAACACACACCAGCUGUCUAAUCUAGGACAUGCUCUUUGCCUCUCUGAUCCUUAUUGUCCUUAUCUGCGACGUUGGGAUUAAUAAAAUAAUAUAUCUAAAUC